UAUGUAAAAUUAAUAAUAAAUUAAUAUGAUUGAGGGAUUAAGGAAAUACGUUAUGAAUAGAUAACAAAUAGAGCUUCCUUACAUAUAUACUGUUUUGUCUGUAUUUUAUAACGUUACUACAACUAUAUGUCUGAAAUUGUAAAAUAUUUUCUGUUUCUGUUUAAUAAAUUUCAUUUCAUUUCA